UUAAUGUCACAUCAGUUUGAACUUACAUUAUACUCAACGGUUAGAUUCUACCAGUACUCUUUCAACAAACUGUCUCCUCAGCAAUUCCACCUACUUCAUAUGACCUGCAGGGACAAAACAUCGCGGGUUACUUUAUAACAUCAACCCAAAAGGAAUUCCUUCAGUGGGGAAUUUCGUGGAAAAGUGUGGCAGGUUGUGAAUACAACCUAAAUUUUUUAUUAGCGGAAAUGAAAGUUAACACCUUUUCUAACAACGGAAACCACUACUUGCUUCGUUCACCCAUAUUUAGAAGAUUAAAAAAAAUGAAUAAAGAAUAAUUAUAACUCAUAAAUCAACUUCAGACUCACCUAAUUCAGAUGCCUUACAAUCCCUAAAGGGAAUUCAUCUUCAGAAUUGGUGAAAAGGAAGUUCUUAUUGUUCCUGUAGAAUGUUCCGGCUGCAGACGUUACAUGUCGGCAAUGACACUGGAAUCCUAUCCUGCGCAAGUGACUACAUGGAUGCGCCCCUUUUGGGGCAGCAUCACAAGCAUCUGUCUUCACAGUGAUCCUAGUCCAUAUACAAUCUGAUUGGAGAAUCGGAUUCAAUAUUGACUUCUGGUCCACAAUUUGUGGUGUAAAUCAGAGAACCCACAGGAUUAG
rnacentral:lncRNA from 1 species